CACGUAGGAGGCAAACGUUAUCCGGAUUUACUGGGCGUAAAGCGCGUGUAGGUGGUUCUGUAAGUAGGGCGUGAAAGCUCCCGGCUCAACUGGGAGAGGCCGUUCUAAACUGCAGAGCUAGAGUGUGGUAGGGGAGACUGGAAUUCCUGGUGUAGCGGUGAAAUGCGCAGAUAUCAGGAGGAACACCGAUGGCGAAGGCAGGUCUCUGGGCAGUAACUGACGCUGAGGAGCGAAAGCAUGGGUAGCGAACAGGAUUAGAUACCCCA
rnacentral:rRNA from 1 species